UUGAAGAGUUUGAUCAUGGCUCAGAUUGAACGCUGGCGGCAGGCCUAACACAUGCAAGUCGAGCGGUAGCACAGAGAGCUUGCUCUCGGGUGACGAGCGGCGGACGGGUGAGUAAUGUCUGGGAAACUGCCUGAUGGAGGGGGAUAACUACUGGAAACGGUAGCUAAUACCGCAUAAUGUCGCAAGACCAAAGUGGGGGACCUUCGGGCCUCAUGCCAUCAGAUGUGCCCAGAUGGGAUUAGCUAGUAGGUGGGGUAACGGCUCACCUAGGCGACGAUCCCUAGCUGGUCUGAGAGGAUGACCAGCCACACUGGAACUGAGACACGGUCCAGACUCCUACGGGAGGCAGCAGUGGGGAAUAUUGCACAAUGGGCGCAAGCCUGAUGCAGCCAUGCCGCGUGUGUGAAGAAGGCCUUCGGGUUGUAAAGCACUUUCAGCGGGGAGGAAGGCGUUAAGGUUAAUAACCUCAUCGAUUGACGUUACCCGCAGAAGAAGCACCGGCUAACUCCGUGCCAGCAGCCGCGGUAAUACGGAGGGUGCAAGCGUUAAUCGGAAUUACUGGGCGUAAAGCGCACGCAGGCGGUCUGUCAAGUCGGAUGUGAAAUCCCCGGGCUCAACCUGGGAACUGCAUUCGAAACUGGCAGGCUAGAGUCUUGUAGAGGGGGGUAGAAUUCCAGGUGUAGCGGUGAAAUGCGUAGAGAUCUGGAGGAAUACCGGUGGCGAAGGCGGCCCCCUGGACAAAGACUGACGCUCAGGUGCGAAAGCGUGGGGAGCAAACAGGAUUAGAUACCCUGGUAGUCCACGCCGUAAACGAUGUCGAUUUGGAGGUUGUGCCCUUGAGGCGUGGCUUCCGGAGCUAACGCGUUAAAUCGACCGCCUGGGGAGUACGGCCGCAAGGUUAAAACUCAAAUGAAUUGACGGGGGCCCGCACAAGCGGUGGAGCAUGUGGUUUAAUUCGAUGCAACGCGAAGAACCUUACCUGGUCUUGACAUCCACAGAACUUUCCAGAGAUGGAUUGGUGCCUUCGGGAACUGUGAGACAGGUGCUGCAUGGCUGUCGUCAGCUCGUGUUGUGAAAUGUUGGGUUAAGUCCCGCAACGAGCGCAACCCUUAUCCUUUGUUGCCAGCGGUUCGGCCGGGAACUCAAAGGAGACUGCCAGUGAUAAACUGGAGGAAGGUGGGGAUGACGUCAAGUCAUCAUGGCCCUUACGACCAGGGCUACACACGUGCUACAAUGGCAUAUACAAAGAGAAGCGACCUCGCGAGAGCAAGCGGACCUCAUAAAGUAUGUCGUAGUCCGGAUUGGAGUCUGCAACUCGACUCCAUGAAGUCGGAAUCGCUAGUAAUCGUAGAUCAGAAUGCUACGGUGAAUACGUUCCCGGGCCUUGUACACACCGCCCGUCACACCAUGGGAGUGGGUUGCAAAAGAAGUAGGUAGCUUAACCUUCGGGAGGGCGCUUACCACUUUGUGAUUCAUGACUGGGGUGAAGUCGUAACAAGGUAACCGUAGGGGAACCUGCGGUUGGAUCACCUCCUU
rnacentral:rRNA from 1 species